rnacentral:rRNA from 1 species
AAUAGAUACCCGGGUAGUCCAUGCCGUAAACGAUGUCUACUAGCCGUUGGGGCCUUUGAGGCUUUAGUGGCGCAGCUAACGCGAUAAGUAGACCGCCUGGGGAGUACGGUCGCAAGACUAAAACUCAAAUGAAUUGACGGGGGCCCGCACAAGCGGUGGAGCAUGUGGUUUAAUUCGAUGCAACGCGAAGAACCUUACCUGGUCUUGACAUAGUAAGAACUUUCCAGAGAUGGAUUGGUGCCUUCGGGAACUUACAUACAGGUGCUGCAUGGCUGUCGUCAGCUCGUGUCGUGAGAUGUUGGGUUAAGUCCCGCAACGAGCGCAACCCUUUUCCUUAUUUGCCAGCGGGUUAAGCCGGGAACUUUAAGGAUACUGCCAGUGACAAACUGGAGGAAGGCGGGGACGACGUCAAGUCAUCAUGGCCCUUACGACCAGGGCUACACACGUGCUACAAUGGUCGGUACAAAGGGUUGCUACCUAGCGAUAGGAUGCUAAUCUCAAAAAGCCGAUCGUAGUCCGGAUUGGAGUCUGCAACUCGACUCCA